CAGACAAUAACAAACAAGGAUUUUCAUCUGGUUUAUCAAGCUGGAUAUGCUUCUGUAAACAUCAGUGUUCAGUGCCUCCAAAAACCACCUAAAUUAAUUAACAGUCCAGUGGAACAUCACACAUCAUCCUCCUUUGCACAGCCAAGUAUGGGGCUGAGAAGCUGGUGUUGCCUCAAGACUACUUUCUAGGAAACCAAAGCACAAUAAAUUAUUCACCAAAAAGCACAACAGAGAAGGAGGGCACCUUUCACUAAGACAUUCUAAAGUACCUUUGAAACCAAGGGGGAUCCAAAUCCUUGUGUUCAGUGAAGAAGACAAGGCACAAGGAGGCCCAGCCCUUGUCAAGGUCACCUUCUCCUCUCCUGGAAGAUCAUCUGGAAUACAACUCAAACUUGUGAACCUGCUAAAGAUCUGCUAAACCAACAUUCACAAGACACUGUGAUCUCAUUCAUUCUGCCCCUGGAAGUUUCUGGGGGUAGAAGUUUUAAUAUUACUAUGAUUAUUAACAACAUCAAAACAAUAAUCAUAGUGAUUUCAGAGGACCAGCGAUGAAGCAUGCUACCCAACUCCUGACAGAGAGGUGACAGGCUCAAUAUACAGAAUGAGGAAUACAUUUUUUGGCCAUGAACAAGAACUCUGCGCCACAGAGGAGAAACAUGAGCAAGGCUGCUAGAUGCUGAGGGGAAGAUAAAAGGAGUCUCUGAGCAACAUAUCCUGGAUAGCAGAGCAGAAAGGACACACAUGCCCAAAGAAAUACAACCGUUUUCCAUUUGCAAGAUGAGGCACUCGGACCCAGGGAGGUGUGUGAGCACAUGGAAAAACAAAAAAAAAAUUAAAUAAAAUUUAAAAAA